rnacentral:rRNA from 1 species
UGAAGAGUUUGAUCAUGGCUCAGAUUGAACGCUGGCGGCAGGCCUAACACAUGCAAGUCGAACGGUAACAGGAAGCAGCUUGCUGCUUUGCUGACGAGUGGCGGACGGGUGAGUAAUGUCUGGGAAACUGCCUGAUGGAGGGGGAUAACUACUGGAAACGGUGGCUAAUACCGCAUAACGUCGCAAGACCAAAGAGGGGGACCUUCGGGCCUCUUGCCAUCAGAUGUGCCCAGAUGGGAUUAGCUAGUUGGUGAGGUAACGGCUCACCAAGGCGACGAUCCCUAGCUGGUCUGAGAGGAUGACCAGCCACACUGGAACUGAGACACGGUCCAGACUCCUACGGGAGGCAGCAGUGGGGAAUAUUGCACAAUGGGCGCAAGCCUGAUGCAGCCAUGCCGCGUGUAUGAAGAAGGCCUUCGGGUUGUAAAGUACUUUCAGCGGGGAGGAAGGUGUUGUGGUUAAUAACCGCAGCAAUUGACGUUACCCGCAGAAGAAGCACCGGCUAACUCCGUGCCAGCAGCCGCGGUAAUACGGAGGGUGCAAGCGUUAAUCGGAAUUACUGGGCGUAAAGCGCACGCAGGCGGUCUGUCAAGUCGGAUGUGAAAUCCCCGGGCUCAACCUGGGAACUGCAUUCGAAACUGGCAGGCUUGAGUCUUGUAGAGGGGGGUAGAAUUCCAGGUGUAGCGGUGAAAUGCGUAGAGAUCUGGAGGAAUACCGGUGGCGAAGGCGGCCCCCUGGACAAAGACUGACGCUCAGGUGCGAAAGCGUGGGGAGCAAACAGGAUUAGAUACCCUGGUAGUCCACGCCGUAAACGAUGUCUACUUGGAGGUUGUGCCCUUGAGGCGUGGCUUCCGGAGCUAACGCGUUAAGUAGACCGCCUGGGGAGUACGGCCGCAAGGUUAAAACUCAAAUGAAUUGACGGGGGCCCGCACAAGCGGUGGAGCAUGUGGUUUAAUUCGAUGCAACGCGAAGAACCUUACCUGGUCUUGACAUCCACGGAAGUUUUCAGAGAUGAGAAUGUGCCUUCGGGAACCGUGAGACAGGUGCUGCAUGGCUGUCGUCAGCUCGUGUUGUGAAAUGUUGGGUUAAGUCCCGCAACGAGCGCAACCCUUAUCCUUUGUUGCCAGCGGUCCGGCCGGGAACUCAAAGGAGACUGCCAGUGAUAAACUGGAGGAAGGUGGGGAUGACGUCAAGUCAUCAUGGCCCUUACGACCAGGGCUACACACGUGCUACAAUGGCGCAUACAAAGAGAAGCGACCUCGCGAGAGCAAGCGGACCUCAUAAAGUGCGUCGUAGUCCGGAUUGGAGUCUGCAACUCGACUCCAUGAAGUCGGAAUCGCUAGUAAUCGUGGAUCAGAAUGCCACGGUGAAUACGUUCCCGGGCCUUGUACACACCGCCCGUCACACCAUGGGAGUGGGUUGCAAAAGAAGUAGGUAGCUUAACCUUCGGGAGGGCGCUUACCACUUUGUGAUUCAUGACUGGGGUGAAGUCGUAACAAGGUAACCGUAGGGGAACCUGCGGUUGGAUCACCUCCUUACCUUAAAGAAGC